AGGACUCUCCCAUACGGCGGGAGUAUUCUUCCCUUUAAACUUUCUUGCUUGUGAGUUUUUCUUCCUUUAAAACUCUUCUUUCAUUUCCUCUAGAUGUUUUCUUCUUCCUUACCACCUGUGCAAGUCCAAGUAUGACUUCUUCAAUCAAUCUUGAGAGGAGUGGCGGUGAGGAUUCUUCCUCACGGUGGGAGGAUCCUGCAUGUGCAGGUUCCUUUUCUCCCAUGGUUUUUUACCCCAUCAUGUGGGGCAAAGUGUCCACAUGUGCAGCAUGCUCUGGUCACGUACCCCUCAUGAGCCUUGGACUUGUUCGCGAUGGUUAUUAGGCCAAAUUGAUGCUCCUUUAGCUACCAUGUAACUCCUUAAGCCUGUAGGCUAUCUUAGGCCUUUUAAACCUGCGACCUUGAUCCAUGUUAGGCCUUUGAACAAGCUUGUUUAUGAGAACUUUAGGCCGACCUUCUUGAUCUUGGGCUUGGAAUAAUUUAGGCAAUUGGGAAAGGUUAAAAUCAACUUAUUGUUUGGCUUUGGACUAGCAAAAAUCUAAAGUAGAGAAGGAAUCCAGUUUCCCAUGGGAUUGGGAAUCCUUGUAGGAGCAGGAUUUCCCUUCUGCAAGCUUUAUAGGCGUCCACGUGUUGGGCAUCUCGUGCUGUCCUUGUGUGUGCAUUGUGGAUGCGAACACUUCCUGGAUGGCAUCUACGUGUGUGCGUUGUGUUCGUUGCUGGGUAUGCGAGCGCAAAAUGUUUUUACUCUGUGUACACGUGCUGCAUGGCCUCUUGCCGACGCUACCACGUGUUCAUGGGCAGUUUUCCUGUGGGAAUCUUGAUUAUCAUGAGAUU
rnacentral:lncRNA from 1 species